rfam:Felis catus isolate Cinnamon breed Abyssinian chromosome A1, whole genome shotgun sequence.
GCCUGGGUGGCUCAGUCGGUUGAGCCUCUGACUUCGGCUCAGGUGAUGAUCUCAUGGUUCGUGAGUUCGAGCCCCGUGUCGGGCU